rnacentral:rRNA from 1 species
UACGAAGGGGGCUAGCGUUGCUCGGAAUCACUGGGCGUAAAGCGCACGUAGGCGGGUCCUUAAGUCAGGGGUGAAAUCCCGGAGCUCAACUCCGGAACUGCCUUUGAUACUGGGGAUCUUGAGUCCGGAAGAGGUGAGUGGAACUCCGAGUGUAGAGGUGAAAUUCGUAGAUAUCAGGAGGAACACCAGUGGCGAAGGCGGCUUCCUGGACACUAACUGACGCUGAGACGCGAAAGCGUGGGGAGCAAACGGG